rnacentral:rRNA from 1 species
GGAUGUGAUCAUACCAGCACUAAAGCACC